rnacentral:pre_miRNA from 1 species
GGCGUAUUCCUUUGAUCCGAAAAUAUUUGUCGAAUAAAUGAAUGUAUAUAGAUGUAUUUUAGUUCUGGAUACAUUCAUUCUUAUCAAUUUUUGCGACAAGUAAUUCCGGACGGAGGGAGUAUAAA